CUAGGUGUUUUGUGCCAGAGAUAGAUUCUAAAUUUUAAAAAAAGAAAAAGGAACUGAGAGUGGCGGCACACACUUGUAACCCUAGCACUCAGGAGGCUGAGGCAGAGGCUAUCCCGGUCUAUACAGUGAGUUUAAGGCCAGCUGGAACUAUGUAGGGAGACUCUGUUUUGCCCCCUCCCCCGCAAAAAAAAAGGAAAACAAAAAACACAGAAACAGUGAAAGGACCAAAAACAUAUACAUAAGUUUAGCUCUAAAAUUUUUUGUAAUUUGCAUUUUUUUUUUUUUUUUUUUUUUUUGAGACAGCUCCAAACAAUAACACUAUGCUUCCUCUCCGGGUCUCCUUUUUAUGCUGGCAGCCAUCCUCAGGUGGGUCGUCCACGUGCAGCACCAUGCUGAUUCAGUUCAGCUCUUGUUACCAGUUUUCAGUACACCUCAGACCUGUAUUAUGAGCGCUGCAGGUGUCAGGUAAGGGAAGAUCCAGCUUGUGGUGGGUUGGGCAGCUGAGUCGUGGGCACUACACUCUGUUCCUGCCGACAAAAUGCAGCCACUGAGAGUGAGCAUCUGACACCUGAAUGGAAUGGCAGCUCUGGAUGGGAGGUGACAAAGGACUUACAAUUCCUGACCCUGCAGCUGUGGCCACUUUCUUUGAGUCAGUAGUGUAACAUUUGCAGUACUCAAGAGAUUGCUGUUCAGACAAGAAAAAAACCUACAAACAGGCAGUUGUUGCCAGGGCAGCAGGCAACAGAAGGUGGCUGUGACUGCCUGCUACCAUGGUAACGCUGAUAGCUGUACAAGCAGGCUUGAGGUGCAUAGCUGACAUUGUCACCAGUGUUAGAUUUAUCUGGGGUUCUAUUUAAAUCUUGAAUUUCCAGGACACAUGACCUCAGGUUCACAGUUUGUAGGAGUGGGAUAGGAUCUGGAAUCUGCCUUUGAGCAAUACCCCAGGCAACAUGUAAAAAGUCUCCAAUGCCAUUAAUAUUUGAGGACCACUAACUGAAGAAAACCACAUCUCUGGGAUCGAACUCACGACCGCCUGCUUGCAAGGCAGGUGCUUAUGCCGCUGAGCUAAAUCCCCAGCCCAAUGGUUUCAUUUCUAAUAAGGGAAAGCCUACACUUCUUAAAUACAGAUGGUGUCAUCCUCGUAUGGCGGACCUUACAGGAUGUUUGCUGUGGUCACAUGGCUCUUGACCGUCUCUGGGUGAGGGCUGUGAAGAGUGACGAGAAGAUGAGGAAGACAAGAUAAUGGAAAGCUGGGAUCAGGUGGAGUCUUCUGUCUAGAUGGGAGCAAAGGAACUGCUCAACCACUGCAGUGCGUUUAUUUACACAUUCAGCAGAUUGAUGUCAUAUGACCCCUCCGCCCCUUUGCCUAGCAACCUGCCUGCAUGGUAGUCUAAGGGCUUGGUGUUUUCUGGACUGGAGUGGCUUGUUCACAUGGUGCACCUCUGGCGCUUUUUGUUCUUGGGUUGGCCUUGGCCCAUCCCUGCACAUGUGAUCAAUUUCCAGCUUCAGUUGCUCCCCACAGAUGUUGUAUAUUGCAAAGAACCCACUACACUGUCAAUUCUUAGAGAAGAAAUUCAAAAUGCAUGCAAUCUCAAUGGGCCAAGAUUAUGCGAACAGCAUCUGGCAAUACUAAUAAAGAUGUGGAAGCUAAUAGCCACCACUUUGAGCACCUCUUGUGAUUGUAGAAGCCAGAGGUAAUUUAUAAUUACUCUCACGAUGUCUUAGUAAGGUUACUGUUAAAAUAUUUAUACAGUUUUUUUUGAAGUGUGUACACUUUUUUUUGGUGUUCUUUGUGUAUCUAUAUGUCUCUAACUUGAUCUAUCUAUCUUGAUAUUAAGGUCAUGUUUAUUUGCAGUACUGAGGAUUGAACCAGGGCCUAUGCCCUAAACUACAUCCCCAAACUGUUUUCUUGAGGCUAGACCUUCCUAAGUGUUAUAGCUUAAGUAUACACCCUCCUCCCCCACCUCAGGUGCUCAUAGUUAGGGAUUUGGGGAGGUGACUGGACCAUGGAAGUGUGACAUUGGGUCAUGGUGUAUGCCCUAGUGGCACCUCAAUUCAGGAUCCCUUUUGUUUAUGAACAAUUUGUUUCACGAACAGAAGCAUUUGGUGAAAUUUUGUUUUUGUUUGCAAAUUCCACAUCAGGUGAUGAACAUGACACUGAUCCUCUUUCUUGCAUGAAUCUGAACAUGACCGUGGCCAUUGUGAACGGAAAUACCACUGUACUGGAGCCACCUACUGAUGGGUUCAUAGUGGUGCUGAGCAAUGGAGCCUGGUGGGAGGAGGCGGCCCCUGGUCCAUGGCCUGCAGGGUACAUAACCCUCCUCUUCCCUUGGGUCCCUCAGUGCUUCCUGCUUGCUGCUAUCUGCUUCCUUCCUGCCAUGCUGUGAGCUGUUCUUACUCUGCGAUGCCCCUCUGCCACACCACACUGCCUUGCAGUCAGCUGACUAUGGGCUGAAAUAAGUCUUUUCUCCUUUAACUUGGGGUGUUAGGCAUUUUGGCUCAGCAACAAGAAAAAGUCACUAAGAUACCUGGCUCAUUUGAUUUUGUUUCUUUUUUUCUUUUUAUUGGCUCAUUUGAUUUUUAAAAUUAUUAUUUUUCAUUAUUUUGGGAGACUUUUGUAUUAUAAAAAGAAUUAAUGAGGAAGUAUAAAGAAAAUAUCUGAAGUCUUAUCACUGAGAGAAAACCAUUGUCAAUAAAUGCAGUCACGUACUUCCUGC